AUUGAACGCUGGCGGCAGGCCUAACACAUGCAAGUCGAGCGGAUGAAGGGAGCUUGCUCCUGGAUUCAGCGGCGGACGGGUGAGUAAUGCCUAGGAAUCUGCCUGGUAGUGGGGGAUAACGUCCGGAAACGGGCGCUAAUACCGCAUACGUCCUGAGGGAGAAAGUGGGGGAUCUUCGGACCUCACGCUAUCAGAUGAGCCUAGGUCGGAUUAGCUAGUUGGUGGGGUAAAGGCAUACCAAGGCGACGAUCCGUAACUAGUCUGAGAGGAUGAUCAGUCACACUGGAACUGAGACACGGUCCAGACUCCUACGGGAGGCAGCAGUGGGGAAUAUUGGACAAUGAGCGAAAGCCUGAUCCAGCCAUGCCGCGUGUGUGAAGAAGGUCUUCGGAUUGUAAAGCACUUUAAGUUGGGAGGAAGGGCAGUAAGUUAAUACCUUGCUGUUUUGACGUUACCAACAGAAUAAGCACCGGCUAACUUCGUG
rnacentral:rRNA from 1 species